UUUUUCGCCCCGCCCUUCAAAUGCGAAAGCGACUGCCUUCUUGGGAUAUGGUUUUCGAUUACUAAGUAUUCGAAAUCCUCAUACCAGCAACAGAAAUGAACCACUUCCAAAUUCUAAGACACAAAAGACCAAAGAGAAGCAAAAGCGAUACAAAUUAAUAUGUGCCCCUCUCCUUUCUGCUCUAAGGGAAUCUACAAACCAGUAUCACAUUUAGGAGUCAAAGUGUUAAUUCUUCAGCAUUCCUGACAACUAGAAAGCACAUUCACUGAAGGCUGAAGGUGAGGGAGUGGAUGGUUUAACUUUAAUAUCUGAAGAAUGGCGCCAAUAGAGGAAAGAAAACCAUCCAAUCUCAGUAAGGAUUAAUGCAAAUCUGGCUAGAAAAAGCCACCAGGUAAUCCAAGGGUUCACUGUGGAAGAACUCAUGAAAAGUACUCUGAAGUAUACACAACAGGUCUAAACAUCUCCCUUGUCGUAAGUAGUUGUGUAAAAUUCAAGAUAAAGAUUUAGUCUCAUCUUUUAAUGUCAGUUUUUUCCCCCAUGUUAAAGGGAAUGAGGAGGAGUCCUCUUUUAUUCCCCCACAAGAAAAAGGGAGCCACAUUAAUAUGUGUAUAUUCCCAUAACUCUAACGUAAGUGCGGAUCUUCAAAGCCUAGGGAUUUUUCCGUAAAAGAGAGUGGGCCGUUCUGGUUACCCUUUUAUUAGAAGGGUAUUCCACCACAGAGAGCCGGAGGUUUUCCAGAUGUGUGUAAGAGAGCAGGUGCGCAAGGCAAGCAAAUGAGCGCAAACAGUAUUAUGGAAAACAUUUGAGAAGUUAGCUCCAUGAGGACUGUGGGCUCCACAAGAGGACUCGACUGGGUAGCCUGGUCUGACACAGGAACGUGAAAGCAGAGUAUUGCUUCAAAGCUGGAAACCUUCCAUAGGAGCCUCACACUGCUGGAAGAUGUACUGCUGCUGGUUAAGGUCAACCUGGGGUGCAAUGCUGCUGUCUUCAUCUUCGGUCCCGAAGUAAUGCUCAAUAAGAUCAAAGGCCUUUUGGUAGAUCUCCUGGUUUUCAUGACUCUGUAAGAACUCAAUUUUAUCCAGACCUAAAAUGAAGAAUAAAGGAAAAUCUUUAUUGAAAACUUCAAUAAAUAUUGGAAAUUCCAUAACUAUA
rnacentral:antisense_RNA from 1 species